rnacentral:tRNA from 1 species
UAGAUUGAAGCCCGCUGGUUUGGGUUUUUAGUUGUUAACUAAAUAUUAUACGGGAUCAAGGCCCGUCGAUCUAG